rnacentral:rRNA from 1 species
AUUGAACGCUGGCGGCAUGCCUUACACCUGCAAGUCGAACGGCAGCACGGGUGCUUGCACCUGGUGGCGAGUGGCGAACGGGUGAGUAAUACAUCGGAACGUACCUUAUCGUGGGGGAUAACGCAGCGAAAGCUGUGCUAAUACCGCAUACGCCCUGAGGGGGAAAGCGGGGGAUCGCAAGACCUCGCGCGAUUAGAGCGGCCGAUGCCUGAUUAGCUUGUUGGUGGGGUAAAAGCGCACCAAGGCGACGAUCAGUAGCUGGUCUGAGAGGACGAUCAGCCACACUGGGACUGAGACACGGCCCAGACUCCUACGGGAGGCAGCAGUGGGGAAUUUUGGACAAUGGGGGCAACCCUGAUCCAGCAAUGCCGCGUGAGUGAAGAAGGCCUUCGGGUUGUAAAGCUCUUUUGUCAGGGAAGAAACACCGGCUCUAACACAGUCUGGGAAUGACGGUACCUGAAGAAUAAGCACCGGCUAACUACGUGCCAGCCGCCGCGGUAAAAC